rnacentral:rRNA from 1 species
GUGAAACCGUUCAGGGGUAAACCUGAGAAACCCGAAAGGUCGAAGGGGGAAAUUCAUUCGCGUCUCGCCGUCGGCGGGGGGCGGUCGUGCGACGGAAGACGCGCUCGCGCGCGUCAUCCGCGCCCUCCGCUUCCGGAUCCGGUGGCGAACGCGUGCACUUUUCUCCCGGUAGGACGUCGCGAUCCGUCGGGCGUCGGUCUACGGCUAGCGGUGGAGACCGGGCGCGCGCUUCGGCGCGCGCCAGGACCCGCAUGUCCCGGCCGACUCGCUCGACGGUAUGCGAACGGUCAAGGGCCGCUCAACAGAGGAGCGUUCGGCCCGUCGCAAGCGCGUCAGACGCAUCGGCGAUCGGACCUCGUGCCGGUUCCGAUCUCUGGCGACUGUUUGGCGGCGGAGCUCUCGAACAGACCCCCUGACCGAUCUGCGACGCUAUAGCUUUGGGUACUUUCAGGACCCGUCUUGAAACACGGACCAAGGAGUCUAGCAUGUGCGCGAGUCAUUGGGACAAACUAGACCCAAAGGCGCAAUGAAAGUGAAGGUCCGCCUCGCGCGGACUGGGGGAGGACGGGCGGUUCGCCCUCAAAAGCGGCCGCCCCGCACUCCCGGGGCGUCUCGUUCUCAUCGCGAGGAGAGGCGCACCGAGAGCGUACACGCUGGGACCCGAAAGAUGGUGACCUAUGCCUGGUCAGGACGAAGUCAG